rnacentral:rRNA from 1 species
CUACGGGGGGCAGCAGUGGGGAAUAUUGGACAAUGGGCGCAAGCCUGAUCCAGCAAUGCCGCGUGAGUGAAGACGGCCUUAGGGUUGUAAAACUCUUUCGCUAGGGAAGAUAAUGACUGUACCUAGUAAAGAAGUCCCGGCUAACUCCGUGCCAGCAGCCGCGGUAAUACGGAGGGGACUAGCGUUGUUCGGAAUUACUGGGCGUAAAGAGUUCGUAGGCGGACUGACAAGUUAGAGGUGAAAUCCCAGGGCUCAACCCUGGAACUGCCUUUAAAACUGUCAGUCUAGAGACCGGAAGAGGUUAGGGGAAUACCUAGUGUAGAGGUGAAAUUCGUAGAUAUUAGGUGGAACACCAGUGGCGAAGGCGCCUAACUGGUCCGGUAUUGACGCUGAGGAACGAAAGCGUGGGGAGCAAACAGGAUUAGAUACCCGGGUAGUC